CACGGGGGGAGCAAGCGUUGUUCGGAAUCACUGGGCGUAAAGGGCGUGUAGGCGGUUCGGUAAGUGGAAUGUGAAAUGCUCCGGCUCACCCGGAGUACUGCAUCCCAAACUGCCGAGCUUGAGUAUGGGAGAGGAUGAGGGAAUUCCUGGUGUAGCGGUGAAAUGCGUAGAUAUCAGGAGGAACACCGGUGGCGAAAGGCGCUCAUCUGGCCCAAUACUGACGCUGAGGCGCGAAAGCUAGGGGAGCAAACGGG
rnacentral:rRNA from 1 species